GAACGGGUGAGUAAUACAUCGGAACGUACCCAGUAAUGGGGGAUAACUAUCCGAAAGGAUAGCUAAUACCGCAUACGCCCUACGGGGGAAAGAGGGGGAUCGCAAGACCUCUUGUUAUUGGAGCGGCCGAUGGCUGAUUAGCUAGUUGGUGAGGUAAAGGCUCACCAAGGCGACGAUCAGUAGCGGGUCUUAGAGGACGAUCCGCCACACUGGAACUGAGACACGGUCCAGACUCCUACGGGAGGCAGCAGUGGGGAAUCUUGGACAAUGGGCGCAAGCCUGAUCCAGCAAUGCCGCGUGCGUGAAGAAGGCCUUCGGGUUGUAAAGCGCUUUUGUCAGGGAGCAAAAGGUGGUGGCUAAUAUCCAUCGCUCUUGAGAGUACCUGAAGAAUAAGGACCGGCUAACUACGUGCCAGCAGCCGCGGUAAUACGUAGGGUCCAAGCGUUUAUCGGAAUUACUGGGCGUAAAGCGUGCGCAGGUGGUUUGUUAAGCACGAUGUGAAAUCCCCGAGCUCAACUUGGGAAUUGCAUUUUGAACUGGCUAACUAGAGCACGGCAGAGGGGGGUGGAAUUCCACUUGUAGCAGUGAAAUGCGUAUAUAUGUGGAGGAACA
rnacentral:rRNA from 1 species